UCUCCCUCAACUUUUCUUGAGUCUCUUCUCAAGGAAUCUAGCUCUUUCCUUGAUUCCCUUCUCAAGAAAUCAGCGUGCCUCUUCUAAGAACCUUUCUUGGUGUCUUUUAUCCCUUUGUCAAGAAUCUUUUUUGACUUCUUAACUCCCUUAACCGAGAACCUUCUUUGGCUUCUUGGCAUCAUUCCUUUUGGAUGUCCAACUAUUGGACAUGAAAGCCUUGGGGCAUGAAAACUCUUUUCAUGCGAAUGGUGCCUUCGGAUGUGAGGCCUC
rnacentral:lncRNA from 1 species